AAGGCUUUAGCUUAAUUAAAGUGUCUGCUUUGCAUGCAGAAGAUGUGGGGUAGUGUCCUGCAAGUCUUA
rnacentral:tRNA from 2 species